CUGAGACCUGAUGCCGAGCCGAUUGUGGUGAAGUGGAUGAUCCUAUGCUGUCGAGAAAAGCCUCUAGCGAGUUUCAUGGCGGCCCGUACCCUAAACCGACUCAGGUAGUCAGGUAGAGAAUACCGAGGCGUUCGGGUGAACUAUGGUUAAGGAACUCGGCAAAAUGCCCCCGUAACUUCGGGAGAAGGGGGGCCAUCUCUGGUGAGGGAACUUGCUUCCUGAGCUGGGGGUGGCCGCAGAGACCAGCGAGAAGCGACUGUUUACUAAAAACACAGGUCCGUGCGAAGCCGUAAGGCGAUGUAUACGGACUGACGCCUGCCCGGUGCUGGAACGUUAAGGGGACCGGUUAGUGCACUUUCGGGUGUGCGAAGCUGAGAACUUAAGCGCCAGUAAACGGCGGUGGUAACUAUAACCAUCCUAAGGUAGCGAAAUUCCUUGUCGGGUAAGUUCCGACCUGCACGAAUGGCGUAACGACUUCUCGACUGUCUCAACCAUAGGCCCGGUGAAAUUGCACUACGAGUAAAGAUGCUCGUUUCGCGCAGCAGGACGGAAAGACCCCGGGACCUUUACUAUAGUUUGAUAUUGGUGUUCGGUUCGGCUUGUGUAGGAUAGGUGGGAGACUUUGAAGCGGCCACGCCAGUGGUUGUGGAGUCGUCGUUGAAAUACCACUCUGGUCGUGCUGGAUGUCUAACCUGGGUCCGUGAUCCGGAUCAGGGACAGUGUCUGAUGGGUAGUUUAACUGGGGCGGUUGCCUCCUAAAGAGUAACGGAGGCGCCCAAAGGUUCCCUCAGCCUGGUUGGCAAUCAGGUGUUGAGUGUAAGUGCACAAGGGAGCUUGACUGUGAGACCGACGGGUCGAGCAGGGACGAAAGUCGGGACUAGUGAUCCGGCAGUGGCUUGUGGAAGCGCUGUCGCUCAACGGAUAAAAGGUACCCCGGGGAUAACAGGCUGAUCUUCCCCAAGAGUCCAUAUCGACGGGAUGGUUUGGCACCUCGAUGUCGGCUCGUCGCAUCCUGGGGCUGGAGUCGGUCCCAAGGGUUGGGCUGUUCGCCCAUUAAAGCGGUACGCGAGCUGGGUUUAGAACGUCGUGAGACAGUUCGGUCCCUAUCCGCUGUGCGCGUAGGAAUAUUGAGAAGGGCUGUCCCUAGUACGAGAGGACCGGGACGGACGAACCUCUGGUGUGCCAGUUGUUCUGCCAAGGGCAUGGCUGGUUGGCUACGUUCGGAAAGGAUAACCGCUGAAAGCAUCUAAGCGGGAAGCCUGCUUCGAGAUGAGUGUUCCCACCACCUUGAGUGGUUAAGGCUCCCAGUAGACGACUGGGUUGAUAGGCCAGAUGUGGAAGCCCGGUAACGGGUGGAGCUGACUGGUACUAAUAGGCCGAGGGCUUGUCCUCAGUUG
rnacentral:rRNA from 1 species